GUCAGGAUGGCUGAGUGGUCUAAGGUGUCCGACUCAAGUUCUGGUCCCUUUCUAGGGGUGUGGGUUCAAAUCCCACUCCUGACA